AGCUCAGUGGUAGAGUACGUGCUUAGCAUGCAUGAGGUCCUGGGUUCAAUCCCCAG
rnacentral:tRNA from 1 species